rnacentral:rRNA from 1 species
UACGUAGGGUGCGAGCGUUAAUCGGAAUUACUGGGCGUAAAGUGUGCGCAGGCGGCCGCGCAAGUCGAGUGUGAAAUCCCCGAGCUUAACUUGGGAAUUGCGCUCGAAACUACGUGGCUGGAGUGUGGCAGAGGAAGGUGGAAUUCCACGUGUAGCGGUGAAAUGCGUAGAGAUGUGGAGGAACACCGAUGGCGAAGGCAGCCUUCUGGGCCAAUACUGACGCUCAUGCACGAAAGCGUGGGGAGCAAACAGG